GUUUCUCUCUCUACUCUUUCUCUCUAGUUUUUCUCUUUACUUUUCUCUCUCUAAAACUUCGACUGAUCAUAACUUUUGAUCCGUAUCUCCUAUUCAGGAUCCGCGAAAAGCUAUGUAUUUGUCUUGAUGUCCUCUUUCUUAUCCAUAGAGGUUUGAGUUAGAUCCAACGGUUAUUUCUAGAAGGCUCGUAUUAGAAGGCUCGGUUUACGAUCGAUGUUCUAGGAGACGAUUCGUAUUGUCGAGGAGGUUUGUGGAUCAACCAUGGAAAAAUAGGAGCUCAAUUGUGGCAAGUUAAGGCUCAGAUAUAUAAUAGUGAUGCAAAAGAUGAAGGAAAACCAUUUAUGUGGUCAGAAACAAUAAGGGAAGCUUGUGGAAAAAUUCGUGCAAAACAGUUGCUGAGAAGCAGAAAAUGAAAACUGGAAUCUGCCUUAUUUUCUUCUGUAUUUGGACCCCAUUUUGAAGAUAUUUUGAGGGCACCAUGGCAGCAAAUUCUUGACUACAUUUGAAAACCAGAUAUUUCACUAUAAUAAAGCCAAAUCAAGUGGUCAUAAUAGUCAAGGAUGAAGUCAGAAACGUUGCACAAAGCAGGCCUCCUGAUCAGCUUUCCACCUUCAGUCUUAUCUAUGAAGCAUAUUGGAGCUGUCUUUUGGAGACUUUCUUGGAAAGUCUUUUGGAAGGUUAUUGUUUGGACGUCAAUAAAUGAUGUCAUAGGGAAUUAUAGGCCUAAGAAACUUUCAGAAAGAUAGCUACAAGGUCUGUGUACAAGCCCAUAAAUUUGACCAGAAGAUAAGGAAAAUCUGGAAAUUUCUGACAGACC